rnacentral:rRNA from 1 species
ACUCCUACGGGAGGCAGCAGUGGGGAAUUUUGGACAAUGGGCGAAAGCCUGAUCCAGCCAUGCCGCGUGCAGGAUGAAGGCCUUCGGGUUGUAAACUGUCUUUUGUACGGAACGAAAAGACUCUGGUUAAUACCUGGGGUCCAUGACGGUACCGUAAGAAUAAGCACCGGCUAACUACGUGCCAGCAGCCGCGGUAAUACGUAGGGUGCAAGCGUUAAUCGGAAUUACGUGGGCGUAAAGCGUGCGCAGGCGGUUAUAUAAGACAGAUGUGAAACUCCCCGGGCUCAACCUGGGAACUGCAUUUGUGACUGUAUAGCUAGAGUACGGCAGAGGGGAUGGAAUUCCGCGUGUAGCAGUGAAAUGCGUAGAUAUGCGGAGGAACACCGAUGGCGAAGGCAAGUCCCCUGGGCCUGUACUGACGCUCAUGCACGAAAGCGUGGGA